GACGAACGCUGGCGGCGUGCCUAAUACAUGCAAGUAGAACGCACAGUUUAUACCGUAGCUUGCUACACCAUAGACUGUGAGUUGCGAACGGGUGAGUAACGCGUAGGUAACCUGCCUGGUAGCGGGGGAUAACUAUUGGAAACGAUAGCUAAUACCGCAUAAUAUUAAUUAUUGCAUGAUAAUUAAUUGAAAGGUGCAAUUGCACCACUACCAGAUGGACCUGCGUUGUAUUAGCUAGUAGGUGAGGUAACGGCUCACCUAGGCGACGAUACAUAGCCGACCUGAGAGGGUGAUCGGCCAAACUGGGACUGAGACACGGCCCAGACUCCUACGGGAGGCAGCAGUAGGGAAUCUUCGGCAAUAGACGAAAGUCUGACCGAGCAACGCCGCGUGAGUGAAGAAGGUUUUCGGAUCGUAAAGCUCUGUUGUAAGAGAAGAACGGGUGUGAGAGUGGAAAGUUCACACUGUGACGGUAUCUUACCAGAAAGGGACGGCUAACUACGUG
rnacentral:rRNA from 1 species